GUCGAGAGUAGAAGCGUUCACCGCACUGGUGCGGCGCGGCAGCCCAGAUGCGGGCUGCGCGCACCGGAAUCGACCGCCGCGGCCGGAAAUUGCUCUCGGA
rnacentral:ncRNA from 1 species